rnacentral:rRNA from 1 species
UACGUAGGCAGCAAGCGUUGUUCGGAAUUACUGGGCGUAAAGAGUGUGUAGGCGGUGCUCUAAGUUCGGUGUGAAAUCUCCCGGCUCAACUGGGAGGGUGCGCCGGAAACUGGAGUGCUGGAGCGCGGGAGAGGAAAGCGGAAUUCCUGGUGUAGCGGUGAAAUGCGUAGAUAUCUGGAGGAACACCGGUGGCGAAGGCGCCCACCUGGCCUGCUACUGACGCUGAAGCUCGAAAGCUAGGGGAGCAAACGGG